AUAUUUCAUUCGCACCAGGAGCUUUAUAAAUACUACGCAUACUGCACAUUCCUAUUCUAUUGCAAUCUGAGUUAUGCCCGAUCAAAGACAAAGUGAUUAACUCGUUAAUAAGUCAAACGAAAACAAGAAACUACUUACGACUUUCCCCAUUUGCGAUUGGACUGACGCCACAUCAACGUUACAAAAUUAUGAUUUUUCGCAUCGUUAUUGUAUGCUUUGCAUUAUUUGUAAUGUCAUCUGAAUCUAAAGCCUUUUUCGGGGGAGGAGGAAACAAUUUCAUGGUUGGACUUCCGUCAUUAACACAAGUUUCCGGUUGCCAACCAUUCACAAUGAUACAGGUUAAUUGCCAAAUGUGCAAAUGCUGGUUUGGUAGUAUUGCAAUUUGUCGUAAUUUGUUGACUUGUCCAACAUCAUCAACGCCACUUGUUUCCACGACCACGCCCCGCCCAACUACGACAAUUCCAGCCGUAGGAUAAGUCUCAGGAAAAAUUAUUAUCUAAAAUAUUCGUUUUUCUUGGUUUGUCUCAUCUUAUGUUCUGCUCAUUUAUUCGGUAGCUACACACUUGAAAAUGAAGUAAGUUACAUAGACUUAAUUUGAAAUUUUUAGCGUACAUUGUUUCUUAAAAUAUUUGAAGCUUAUUUUCCGAAAUAAUCCUGCUAUCAACACUUUGGGAGUUGCUUAUAAAUAAAUUGGUGUACGAGAAAAUAAGAUAAAUGUAAUGUAGAUUGAGUUUGUUGCAUCCAUUUAUUUAUAUUCAACCUCGAGGGAAUUUUUUAUGAUGGAGAGGCGAUAAAGUGGCACAAUAAAGCACAAUUCAAGGCGAUUACAAUCGUUUAUAAAUUGUACAUGUUUAUCUUUCUCCUGCUUCUCCUUGCACACUGGUAAAAUUCAUGUAAGCCAGAAUACUGACAACUGAAUCGUGCUGCCAGCAAGAGAAGAGAAAAGAGACUUUUGCCCAUAUACAAAGUAAUGCCGGUUUACAAAUGGUGUACAAAUCCAUCUUAAAUCAAGUUCGGAGUCAUAGUGCUGCUUGGCCAUUCUUGAAACCCGUUGAUCGAAACGAAGUUCCGAAAUACGUCAAUACUUAUACAUGACUAAUUCAACAGGCACGCCUCGAGUAAUGGAUUGGAUAAUCUGUAAGUUUCCACUGAUUAUUAAUUUUUGUCACACGAAUGUACAUACUUGUCAGUAUUUCAGAAGACAAUUUUCAAGAUUUUAUUAACACAGCAACUGUAUUGACAUAAAUACAUACAUAUUUGUCCGUAUUAAAAAAAUAAG